rnacentral:rRNA from 1 species
ACGGAAGGCAGCAGUGGGGAAUAUUGGGCAAUGGGCGCAAGCCUGACCCAGCAACGCCGCGUGAAGGAAGAAGGCUUUCGGGUUGUAAACUUCUUUUGCAAGGGACGAGACGAAGACGGUACCUUGUGAAUAAGCCACGGCUAACUACGUGCCAGCAGCCGCGGUAAUACGUAGGUGGCAAGCGUUGUCCGGAUUUACUGGGUGUAAAGGGCGUGUAGCCGGGUCGGUAAGUCAGAUGUGAAAUCCACGGGCUUAACUCGUGAACUGCAUUUGAAACUGCUGAUCUUGAGUAUCGGAGAGGCAAUCGGAAUUCCUAGUGUAGCGGUGAAAUGCGUAGAUAUUAGGAAGAACACCAGUGGCGAAGGCGGUUAGCUGGACAAUAACUGACGCUGAGGCGCGAAAGCGUGGGUAGCAAACAGGAUUAGAUACCCUGGUA